UUCAGGGGUAAACCUGAGAAACCCAAAAGAUCGAAUGGGGAGAUUCAUCCUUUGCGACGUUGGCUUCCGUGUGUCACGCGAUGCUCGGGACUUGUCCUGUGGCACGUUGGCACUGCGGUUUGUCCGGCGGCGCGGUGGUGCACUUCUCCCCUAGUAGGACGUCGCGACCCGUUGGGUGUCGGUCUACGGCCCGUGAAGUCGACUGUCGCGUCACGUUCUGCGUGCACGCGCCAGACUCGCGGUCGCCCGACCGGCUGCCCGGCGGUAUCGAAAGCUAACUUAAACUGGUAUAGAGCCGCAUUAAAUGCGUCCGACUCGUCGGCCGGCUCGUCUCGCUCGGAUUUACGGACUUUGUGCCGUUGUCGGGCGCUUGAUGGGCUUUCAGGUCGUGCGAUGUACUUGGACUGGCUCGUCACAUUCGCAAGGAUGUACCGGUCAGCGACGCUACUGCUUUGGGUACUUUCAGGACCCGUCUU
rnacentral:rRNA from 1 species